CCUACGGGAGGCAGCAGUGGGGAAUAUUGCACAAUGGGCGGAAGCCUGAUGCAGCGACGCCGCGUGAGGGAUGAAGGCCUUCGGGUUGUAAACCUCUUUCAGCAGGGACGAAGCGUGAGUGACGGUACCUGCAGAAGAAGCACCGGCUAACUACGUGCCAGCAGCCGCGGUAAUACGUAGGGUGCGAGCGUUGUCCGGAAUUACUGGGCGUAAAGAGUUCGUAGGCGGUUUGUCGCGUCGUUUGUGAAAACCCGGGGCUCAACUUCGGGCUUGCAGGCGAUACGGGCAGACUUGAGUGUUUCAGGGGAGACUGGAAUUCCUGGUGUAGCGGUGAAAUGCGCAGAUAUCAGGAGGAACACCGGUGGCGAAGGCGGGUCUCUGGGAACAACUGACGCUGAGGAACGAAAGCGUGGGUAGCAAACAGGAUUAGAUACCCUGGUAGUCCACGCCGUAAACGGUGGGCGCUAGGUGUGGGUUCCUUCCACGGGAUCUGUGCCGUAGCUAACGCAUUAAGCGCCCGCCUGGGGAGUACGCGCGAGACGAACACGAAGAAGUAGCGCGUGAGAGUUGCGAGACGACGACGAGGGAGAGG
rnacentral:rRNA from 1 species